AGCGAACGCUGGCGGCAGGCUUAACACAUGCAAGUCGAGCGGCCGUAGCAAUACGGCAGCGGCAGACGGGAGAGUAACACGUGGGAACGUACCUUUUGGUUCGGAACAACUGAGGGAAACUUCAGCUAAUACCGGAUAAGCCCUUACGGGGAAAGAUUUAUCGCCAAAAGAUCGGCCCGCGUCUGAUUAGCUAGUUGGUGAGGUAACGGCUCACCAAGGCGACGAUCAGUAGCUGGUCUGAGAGGAUGAUCAGCCUCACUGGGACUGAGACACGGCCCAGACUCCUACGGGAGGCAGCAGUGGGGAAUAUUGGACAAUGGGCGCAAGCCUGAUCCAGCCAUGCCGCGUGAGUGAUGAAGGCCUUAGGGUUGUAAAGCUCUUUUAACGGGGAAGAUAAUGACGGUACCCGUAGAAUAAGCCCCGGCUAACUUCGUGCCAGCAGCCGCCGUAAGAC
rnacentral:rRNA from 1 species